UGUUCUUUAUUACAGAAUGGAAGAAAAUUCAGAAUAGAUGUUAAAUGCUGUACAAUUUAAUUUUCGUUUCGGACAGUGUAUUAUUAACAAACGACAAAACAAUUGUUCCUAUAUCAUUAGCCCAUGUAGACGUCCCCAUUUCUGAUCUAAGUAUUAAUAUAGUGUAUUAGGCAAGCAUGUUGUCUGCUAUGAUGUAUUUGUAGGAGCCAAUGUUGUAAAUGCAUUUUGGGCUGUCACCAGGUGGGGGCAGUGUGUGCACAGAGGGGUUAAAAACAGGUGUUUCUUACAGGUAGCGGAAGUUGACUUGGUUGAAGGGGACAGUUUUUUUUUUUUUUUUACCACACAGAAACUAUAAGAGCAACACACUGGAUAUCAACUUUCUUUCUUCAAGGAUUGUACAUAUAUGCUUGCAUUAUGUUCAAUAAAGUAGAUAAGUUAAAAUCUACUACGAAGGUCUUUUGGUGUGCGUAAAGCGUGCGCGUUUUAUCCAAGCCAUCAGCAGCUAUAGGAGCUGCUGGAACAAAAGUAAAAACUAGUUCCCGUUGGAUCACUGAGCGGCGCUCGCUUUGUUCAAGUUCUCAACGUGGAAACAGGACGGAUGACAAUUAAGGAAGGCUGGUGGGUGCUGCUUAAUAUGUUUAAAGGCUUCAUGCAAUGAAAUUUGAAGUUUGAACCAAACAGAGACAUUCUGUGCUGCUGAUUCCUUCUGGUGGUGUUGUUGCUCAUGGAUAAAAAGGAGAAAUCAGACUCUGAAAUGGCUACUGGUAUUGAUGGUGGAAAGAUUGUUACUGAAGAGGUUGCAAAUGAUGACGUUACUGCUGUUGAUGAAAAAGAGUCACAAAACAGAGUGAGAAAAAUGACUGCAAAGUGGGUUGCUCUGCUCUUUGAAAGUUUGCAGACAACUAGAAAACAGAAGUUAAGUCAAAUAAAUAAAACCAAACAAAAGGUGAAUGAUCUAAUUUCUCUCAAAAUCGCAAGUGAAACUAUACCAGAUGUGGAAAAGCAAAUGAAGAGGUUUGAUAAAUAUUGUAAAGAGGCUGAACACAAUUCAAUUGUUGAAAUGCCUAUGUCUCCGAAUGAGUCUGACAAGCAGAAGGAAUGGUUUAAUGCCAAAAUGGCUGAAAAUCUGCAUUUUUCCAAAGAUAUCAGUGAAUGGGUGUCUGAUACUGGAAAAUCAUUGAAUGUGGAUAAAAUCUGUGACACCUCAUCUACAACAAGCAGUGAAAUAGGACCUGAUGAUAGUAUUUCAAAUGUAUCCACAAAACAAUCCCAUCACAGCAAAGCAUCGAAAGGUUCAACUACUACUUCAAGUACAACUUCUUCUGCACGAAUAAAGGCUGUGGCAGAAAAGGCUGCAUUAUUACAACAUAGUGCUGCUAUGGAGAAGAGACAUGUCUUGGUGGAGGAAGAAAAGCUUCACAUUUCAAAGUGAAAGACUAAAAAGACAAAAGAAACAACUCCUAAUGAAUGCAAAAAUAGCAGCCAGUGAUGCAAAGUUUUAAGAACCAGUGAUGUUGGAAUUGGAAAAAAAGGCAUCGUCCAAUGAUUUAAAAUGUAAAAAAUCACACUCAUUGAAUCACAAUUUGCAAGUAGAGCUGCCUGGGAAUUCUACUCAAACUGCAAUGCAAUGUUUAACUAUACAACAAGUUGCAGGCACACAGGAUGGUACAACUGCUGUUCAAAGUAAUCCAGUCUCUAAUUCUCAAUCACAGAUUCAUUCUUCACAAUCUUAUUCUCAAACUGGACAAGAUAUUUUGUAUAACAUUAUGCAGCAGCAAGCAAAUAUAACAGCUCAGCUUGUUCAUUGGGGGGAUGUGGCAUCUGCUUUACCUCCUCGAGUAAUUCCAAUUUUCGAUGGAGAUCCAUUACAAUUUGCUGCCUUUAUUCAAGCCUUUGAGCAUGGAAUUGAAAGAAAGACCACAGAUGCACAGGAUUGUUUGUACUAUUUAGAACAGUACACUAGAGGACAACCGAGAGAGUUGGUCAGAAGCUGCCAGCAUAUGCCGGCACAACAAGGGUUCAGCAAAGCCAAAAAUUUGUUGAAGGAACAUUUUUGUCAUGAGUUAAAAAUCACUGCAGCCUACAUGGAAAAGGCUUUGGAUUGGACUACAAUAAAACUUGAUGACAUUAAAGGGCUGCAAGCAUAUGCUUUGUUUCUGAGAGGGUAUUGCAAUGUGAUGGUAAACUUGCAGUAUAUGGAUGAGAUUAAUGUUUCAUCGAACCUUAAGAACAUCAUGAUGAAACUGCCUUACCGACUCAGGGAAAAAUGGAGUCAUAGUCUGCAAGUUACAAGAACAGAAUGGCUGUAGGGUCAAGUUUACAGACAUGGUGGAUUUUAUUGAACAUCAGAUAAAGAUUCUCACGGAUCCUCUCUUUGGAGAUAUUAAAGAUACACAACCAAACAUGUCCUAUAAAGUCAAAUCUGUACCUUACAGUGGUAGAGGGUGAAGUUCAGCUACAGUGGCUAAGAUUUUCAGCCUAAAGUACAUCCAUCACAGCAUAGUUCUUCAUCUUGCUGCUAUGCAUGCAAAGAAAAUCAUGUUUUUGAAAAAGCCCUCUAAUUCAGAAAAUGACUCACAGACAAAGGAUUUAAUUUUUGAAGAAUCAUGGAAUUUGCUUUGCCUGUUUAAAUUUGGACAUCUUAGCAAAGAUUGUACAAGUCGGCAUAUUUGUGGUGUGUGUAGUCAGAAGCAUCUUAUUAUAUUGCACAUCUCAGCUAAGAGUAAACCCUUUGAGGAGAAACAAUUGAGUAAUGCUCUUGUUACUUUGUAGACCUAUGCUCAUACUGGAGCCAGAGAACAAGAUUGUUCAUUGUCCACUGUGCCAGUUCAGGUCAGGUCUAAGUUUGGAGACUUUACAGUAACAACAUAUGCUUUCUUGGAUCCAGGGAGUAGAGCCACUUUUGGUACUGAAGGGCUUAUACGGAAGCUGAAGAUGACUAGGACAAGAAGGUGCAUAUUGCUUCGAACAAUGGGACAUGAAAAUGUGGUAAACACAUCUGUGCUCACUGGACUGGAGCAUCUGUGCUCCCUUCAUAUUUAUAUAUAUGAAGCUGUUUGGAAGAGAUCUGACAGAUGAAGCUGUUUGGAUGCUGGGCAAGUAUAAUCAGGUUCCCAUUCAUCCGCACCUCCUGCAUGUUGUACAUGAUGUAGUGUGUGUCAUUGCCCUUGUAGAACAUUUCAUCCGUCAGGAUGGUUAUGUUGUUAUUCUGCUUGGAAAAACAAAAUACAAUUAUUUUCUUUUUUUGGGCAAAAGCUUGGUUGUCUGAUUCUUUGAAUUUUUUCAACCCUUGGACAUGAUGGAAAAAUACAAUUCAGUGAAUAACCAUAAUAGUGUAGCAAAUACUUUUCACAGCACCACUACUAUGUAGUCUUAACAUUUUUUUCGGGUUAUAAAUUGCAGUAUAAAAUUUAGUAUUAAAUUAUAUUAUAAGAAUGGUGAAUAAUUGUGCAAGGGACUGUACAUCAUCUGUGAAGUACUUUAUGCUUCAAGGAAUAAAAAAUAACAGUGUGCUGUGUCAAUUUGA